UACGGAGGGGGCUAGCGUUGUUCGGAAUUACUGGGCGUAAAGCGCGCGUAGGCGGACCAUCAAGUUGGGGGUGAAAUCCCGGGGCUCAACCUCGGAACUGCCUCCAAAACUGCUGGUCUUGAGUUCGAGAGAGGUGAGUGGAAUUCCGAGUGUAGAGGUGAAAUUCGUAGAUAUUCGGAGGAACACCAGUGGCGAAGGCGGCUCACUGGCUCGAUACUGACGCUGAGGUGCGAAAGCGUGGGGAGCAAACAGG
rnacentral:rRNA from 1 species